AAAACGGCCCUUUUCAGGGCCACAGAAAAUCGUGAACUGACCGUCG
rfam:Macrostomum lignano uti_cns_0005649, whole genome shotgun sequence.